AACCCGAUUCUUCUUUCCCCUUCCUCGCGACGGCGCUGUUUCUCUUCUUCGAGCGAUCCUUCUUGGGCGAAAAGCGGCGGCGGCGCUAGGUCUUCACUCCGACGGUCGAUGAGAGGCUUUUCCCGAAAGAGCUUCACGAAUUCGGGAUCACGUCAGCAAAGAGUGCCGUGAGCACGAAGGAGAAACCGAGAUUUUCAUCUCCUCCGAACCCUAGAUCUUCUUCCCUUCGGUUGUAAGUCUAAGAACAACAAGAUAAAGGAAAAGCCAAAACGAUAUGAAGGAGGCGACAAGGGGAGGCUUGAUGGGCGUGUGAUGUUUGGACUAUGGAGUGAUCUAAGAAGUUGUCAAGAAUUUAUUAAGAGUGUUUUGGUUUAAUUGUUUAAAGUAUUUAGAACUUGUACAUGUUACUUUUUGGAUUGUUUUGUCGUGUUUUGUUAGAGUUGGUUUCCUUUGGUA